rnacentral:rRNA from 1 species
UGCCAGACUCCUACGGGAGGCAGCAGUGGGGAAUAUUGGGCAAUGGGCGCAAGCCUGACCCAGCAACGCCGCGUGAAGGAAGAAGGCUUUCGGGUUGUAAACUUCUUUUGACAGGGAAGAGCAGAAGACGGUACCUGUCGAAUAAGCCACGGCUAACUACGUGCCAGCAGCCGCGGUAAUACGUAGGUGGCAAGCGUUGUCCGGAUUUACUGGGUGUAAAGGGCGUGUAGCCGGGCUUACAAGUCAGAUGUGAAAUCCGGGGGCUCAACCCCUGAACUGCAUUUGAAACUGUCGUUCUUGAGUACUGGAGAGGUUGACGGAAUUCCUAGUGUAGCGGUGAAAUGCGUAGAUAUUAGGAGGAACACCAGUGGCGAAGGCGGUCAACUGGACAGCAACUGACGCUGAGGCGCGAAAGCGUGGGGAGCAAACAGGAUUAGAUACCCCAGUAGG